UUCACCUGUUUAUCAAAAACAUCUCUUUAUGAAUAAAAUAUAAAGUUUAACCUGCCCACUGAAUAUUAAGUGGCUGCAGUAUAUUGACUGUACAAAGGUAGCAUAAUAAUUAGUUUUUUAAUUGAAAACUGGAAUGAAUGGUUGGAUGAAAUAUAAACUGUUUUAAUUAAGAUUAAUUUGAAUUUUAUUUUUUAGUAAAAAAGCUAAAAUUUAUUUAAAAGACGAGAAGACCCUAUAAAUCUUUAUAUAAAAAUUUUAAUUUUAAUUAUUUAGAUGAUUUAAUUAAUUAAUAUUUUUAUAUUUUAUUGGGGAGAUAGUAAAAUUUAAUAAACUUUUAUUUGUGAUUUCAUUAAUUUAUGAAUUGUUGAUUAAUUUUUAAUGCAUAAUAAAAUAAGUUACUUUAGGGAUAACAGCGUAAUUAUUUUGGAGAGUUCAUAUUGAUAAAAUAGAUUGCGAC
rnacentral:rRNA from 1 species